rnacentral:rRNA from 1 species
CCUACGGGUGGCAGCAGUGAGGAAUAUUGGUCAAUGGGCGGGAGCCUGAACCAGCCAAGUCGCGUGAGGGAAGACGGUCCUACGGAUUGUAAACCUCUUUUGCCGGGGAGCAACGGGGUCCUUGCGAGGGCCCGAUGAGAUUACCCGGAGAAAAAGCAUCGGCUAACUCCGUGCCAGCAGCCGCGGUAAUACGGAGGAUGCGAGCGUUAUCCGGAUUUAUUGGGUUUAAAGGGUGCGUAGGCGGUCUGUUAAGUCAGCGGUCAAAGGUCGGGGCUCACCCCCGGCCAGCCGUUGAAACUGAUGAACUUGAGUGGGCGAGAAGUAUGCGGAAUGCGUGGUGUAGCGGUGAAAUGCAUAGAUAUCACGCAGAACUACGAUUGCGAAGGCAGCAUACCGGCGCCCGACUGACGCUGAAGCACGAAAGCGUGGGUAUCGAACAGGAUUAGAUACCCUUGUAGUC